rnacentral:rRNA from 1 species
GACGAACGCUGGCGGCGUGCUUAACACAUGCAAGUCGAACGGAAAGGCCCUGCUUUUGUGGGGUGCUCGAGUGGCGAGCGGGUGAGUAACACGUGAGUAACCUGCCCUUGACUUUGGGAUAACUUCAGGAAACUGGGGCUAAUACCGGAUAGGAGCUCCUGCUGCAUGGUGGGGGUUGGAAAGUUUCGGCGGUUGGGGAUGGACUCGCGGCUUAUCAGCUGGUUGGUGGGGUAGUGGCUUACCAAGGCUUUGACGGGUAGCCGGCCUGGGUGGGUGACCGGCCCCAUGGGGACGGGGAUACGGCCAGGACUCCAACGGGAGGCAGAAGGGGGGAAUAUUGAACAAGGGGCGGAAGCCGGAGGCAGCAACGCCGCGUGCGGGAUGACGGCCUUGGGGUUGUAAACCGCUUUCGCAGGUGACGAAGCGUGAGUGACGGUAAUGGGUAAAGAAGCACCGGCUAACUACGUG